rnacentral:lncRNA from 1 species
GGCGGGCGGAGUCGGCGAGCCCGCGGUGGGGGUCCCCGCGCCGCCCAGGCCUACCCCGGCUCCUUGGGAUAGAUGGGGAAGCUGAGGCCCAGAAGGGGGCUGAGACCACCUCCCAGUUUCCCCAGUGAGGUGGCGCCUGAGCCACGGCCAGGCCCGGCCUCCUUCCACCCGGCCCUGCUGUGCGCGCGGCGGGUGCUGACCUGGCGAGGCCGGACAGGGGACCAGGUCGGGGUGACCGUCACUGACACCUGGACAGUCCUCGUUGUGUUCGGGGUGGGAAGCCCACGGGGAAGAGUGUAUCACAGCCAUUGGGAACUUUCUUCACCCAUCAAAGCCUCAGGGCUGAAGCAUCCUGAACAAGAACUCAGGAGAGUGAAAGAAACAGUUACCUGUCGGCUGCAGCUGGUACCAGCUCCCCACCCCGUACAGAGACCGAAGCGUCCUCUCUCUCCCCAUCACCCAGCACCAGACUCUGCCCCGCGACCUCAGCCUGCACCUGCUUCCUGGCUCCAUCCAGCCUUCCAGCCUCACUAGAUCAUCAUGGGCCACUGGCCAACACACAGGGCAGUGCCGAGCCCAGGCCGUGGUCACACAUGGCUGGGUUAGUAGCUGAAAACAUUGUUUUUCACUGGCCUCACAGUAAUGGCACCUGCCCCCAUUUUCUGUGAUUGAAUUUUUGGAUCCUGCUACCAGGUUAUGAUAGAUUUUAUGGUAUGUCUCAAGAUAUUGAGAUAAAGGUAAUAAAACAGCUAUAAAGUCCUGGCUCAAGAAGUGUUACAAACCCAAGCAGGGUAAAUACAAGAAAACUGCACCCAGACACAACAUAGUAAAAUUGCUGAAAACCAAAGAUGAAUAGAACACUUAACAGUUGGAGGAAAAAAGCCACAUUACCUUCAUAAGGACACCAAUCACACUAACAUCUGACUUCGAAAUAGAAAUAUAAAAGCCAAACUACAAGGGAAUGUGAUCUUCAAAAUAUUGAAAGAAUUUAAUUGUUAAGUGAAAUAAUUAACUGCCAACCUAAAUUCUAUUCCUAGUGGAAAUACUCUCCA